rnacentral:rRNA from 1 species
UAUACAUGACUCUGCGCAUAUCAAUAAGCGGAGGAAAAGAAACUAACAAGGAUUCCCUUAGUAACGGCGAGUGAAGCGGGAAGAGCUCAAAUUUGAAAUCUUCAAGGUUUUACCUUGACGAAUUGUAGUUUAAAGAAGUGUUUUCUGCUGAAGUUUUGGUAAAAGUUCUUUGGAAUAGGACAUCAUAGAGGGUGAGAAUCCCGUAUUUGACCAUUAUUUUCAGCUUUGUGAUACACUUUCAAAGAGUCGGAUUGUUUGGGAAUGCGGUCCAAAAUGGGUGGUAAAUUUCAUCUAAAGCUAAAUAUCGGCGAGAGACCGAUAGCGAACAAGUACCGUGGGGGAAAGAUGAAAAGAACUUUGAAAAGAGAGUUAAACAGUACGUGAAAUUGUCAAAAGGGAAGCGUUUGACACCAGUGUUGUUUUUCUGAAAAUCAAUUAAAGAACUGUUUAUGCUAAGUUGUUUAGACUUUAUCAGCUAACUGUUUAGUUUUGAGCUUUUCUUUAAUGCACUUUUCAGUUAACAAGUCGACAUCAAUUUCUUUUGCUGUAAAAAAAGCUUGAGGAAGGUGGCUUGAGAUUCGUUUUAAGUGUUUAUAGCCUCUUGCCUAUGCAGUCGGAGAGAUUGAGGUCUGCAGCGUAGAUCCUUCGGGGCUAAAUGCAUUUGUGCUAAGUUAUAGCAUUUUAUAGACAACUCUGUUGACUAUGAUUUGUCUUGUAGCUUACUCGCUUAUGUUAUUUUACCUACGCUUAGGAUGUUGAGGCGCAUGUCUCUCUCU